GUCUCUCGUGUGUUAGCGUUUCUGAUCGUGUCGCGAGUGUGUGCGAAUUCAACGAGGAAAACAUCAUCGAUUCAUUGGCUGCACUGUUGAGCGUAGACAAGACCAGAAAAAAAAAAACAAUAAAUAUAAGUAACGUUGAUGGAAAGAUUUUUUAAGAUGUAGAAAUUUUAUUAGAAAGAGAGAGAGAGAGAGAGAGAGAGAGAGAGAGAGAGAGAAAAUUAAUGCCACAUCAGAACAUUUUAUCCUGUAAGUUAAAUAUUUUUUUUGUGAAAUAAAAAUAUCUAUUAUAGAAUUGUAUAAUAUAUAAUAUAAUACUUUUGUUAGCAGCAUUAACCAGGAUUUACCACCUUCAAUGACAAAUCAUUAAAUAUGGGCUAUAUUGGAAGUUUUGUGGUAUGACAAACAAUUUGUCAAGUUUAAGACACAUGGAACACAUAUACAAGAGAUGAUGCUGCUACGGCUUUCAAAAUACUUCUUGGUGAGUGAGUUGCUUCCGUCUUAUUAAUAAAUUGCUCUCAUCUAUAGAGUUUCAUGCUCAAAAAAAGCUCAUUUUGCAACAGACUGAGUGCUAUCCGACUCUAUGGAUUUAAAAAUACAAUUAGUAUGAAUAAGUGAUAUAACUAUUGUUAUCACUUACUCGAAACAAUUUUUUUAUUGCAUUACGACUUAACUGAUUGUUAUUAUAGAUAUUGAUAUUAGCUAUAAUAUUUCCAUUGUGGAAGUUUAUAUUAUUUUUAAAUUAUUUGCAUUUAUAUUAUUUUUAAAUUAUUUGCAAAGUUUCCACUACAUAAACCAGUUGUUCUUUAUCAGCUUUUCUCUAAUAAAAAGCACAUAUUUUGAAAGUAUUGAAAAUUUAUCCAGAAAAAUUAUGUGCGUCUGGGUUUUAAAAGGCUCAUACGCAUAUAUAGUCUAUAAUAUCUUUUCCAAAGACAAUUUACCUAAUAUAAUAAUAGGUAAUACUAAUAAUAGGUUUUUUCUUGGAGACGCACAUACACACUUGGCACCUUUUUUUAAAAAAGGUAAUUUUGUUCGGUAUAUAUGACUUUGAGACUUAUACUGCUAGUAUUGGGGAUCUUUCUCUAAAAAUAUAUAUAACAUUAAAAGGAGAAAAUCCAAUUCAAAGAUUAUUGUAUCUCACUCAAUGAUAAAAAAUUAUUUAUCGAACAACUAUGUGUAUUUUGUUUAUGUCCUUCGAGUUCAGAGAUAGCAUUUUUGUCAUGUUCAUGCGUGUUUUGAUUUUUAUUAAUUAAAUGAAUUUUAUAACAACGGAAUAUAUAUUCCACAUGCUAGAAUAGAACAAUUAUUAAGUCGAUUUUUUGCGGAAUAAUAUGUUGCAAGUUCGAGGUAAGGUUGUGCGACAUGCAAUGCGAAUUUUUUGCCUAGAAAACUAGGUAAUAACUAAACAGUAUAAUUAAUAAAAGAAAAUAUUUGAUUAUGAUAAUCAUAUAAUAAAGGUAAACAAGAAAUGCUCAGAUUGGAUUAUCGAUUGGAUUAUAUAAAUGAUUGCGAGAAGAGAAUGAGAAGUAAACGAAACUUAUGAAAUAAAUUUUCUUUGAGAUUAUUAACUUUUUGUAAAAAAAAUUUUUCUUAAUUUUAAGAAAUAAAUUUUAUAAUGUGCGAAAAGAAUCGAUUGCGUUGAUACAACAUCAAGAAGACAUCGAGAAAAUUGCGCAAAGACUCGUUGAUAAGCGUCGUGCAGUUUGCAAGUUAAUGGGGAAACAAGAGUACAAUGCGCAAUAAAUCAGGCCAAAAGAACUCGGGCAUUCCGUGAAA